rnacentral:snRNA from 1 species
GGAUAUGAGGGUGAUCUGGCUGCGACAUCUAUCACCCAUUGAUCGCCAGGGUUGAUUCAGCUGAUCUGGCUGGCUAGGCGGGUGUCCCCUUCCUCUGUCACCGCUCCAUGUGUGUCCCUCCCAAAGCUGCACGCUCGGUCGAAGAAGACGGCCUUCCCCGAAUAGAGACGGACUGGUCUUGGGUGAAGGGUAUAUGAGUAGCUGCGCUCCCCUGCUAGAACCUCCAAACAAGCUCUCAAGGUCCAGUCCUGACUUAUCUAUACAUUGUGAUCAUCAAAUGACUUGGCUUAGAGAUACUAGAAGCCUAGAAUA